CACCACCGAAGCAUAAUCUUGCUGUAGACAUGAUUGCUUUGGGCGUAGGCUCCCAUGUCAGUGCCAAAAACGCUAAGACUUGGAGAAAGGAGAGGAGAAAGUAGAGCUACUUCCUCUGUAUGCUUUGCUGCUUGGAAAGGAGACAGAAAAACAGCAGGAAAUGCUCACUUCUUCUCUUGGGAUCUUUCAGGGACCUCCCACCUGAACAGGACGAUUGAACUUUGCUUUGCGAUGACACAAGCGACAUCUUGGAAGAGGCAAAACUUGAGACAGGUCUUCAAGGAUUGGUGCCAUCUGGACAGGUUGAAGAGGAGUAGGAGGGCUUUCGG
rnacentral:lncRNA from 1 species